rnacentral:rRNA from 1 species
CCUACGGGAGGCAGCAGUAGGGAAUAUUCGGCAAUGGGGGGAACCCUGACCGAGCAAAGCCGCGUGAACGAAGACGUUAUUCGUAAUGUAAAGUCCUUUUAACCGGGAAGAAAGAGAAAUUUGACGGUACCUGAAGAAUAAGCUCCGGCUAACUACGUGCCAGCAGCCGCGGUAAUACGGAGGGAGCGAGCGUUAUCCGGAUUUAUUGGGCGUAAAGGGUGCGUAGAUGGGAUAGUAAGUCUUUUGUAAAAAUGCUGGGCUCAACCCAGUAGGGCAAAAGAUACUGCAAAGCUAGAGUAUGACAGAGGCAAGUGGAACUAGAUGUGUAGCGGUGAAAUGCGUAAAUAUAUGUAAGAACACCAGUGGCGAAGGCGGCUUGCUGGGUCGAGACUGACGUUGAGGCACGAAAGCGUGGGGAGCGAACAGGAUUAGAUACCCGGGUAGUC